UUCCAGCAGCCAGAGCUAAGGAGCUCAGGGUGCAGAAAAUGAAGGGAGUUUGGAAGGAGAGGGAGGAGCUAGGACUUUGGAUGCCCUCCUUGUUCCCCACAAACACUGGGAUUUUUCUGGAUAUUGGAAAGCUGUGGGAUGUAGAAAAGCAUCUUGGCAUCAAAGAGAGCUUGAUUUCAAUUCUGACUCUAUCCUUUUCUGGCUGUGCUGUCUUCAUGUAGCUACCUAACUUCUCUGAACGUCAGUUUCCUCAUUGAUUUCCCACCCCUCCUAAUCCUGGACUUUGAAGGACGCCGGUGACUUGAGAAGGGAGCGUGCCGCCAAUUCCUCAAAAUCCAGUGUUUCUGAAGCCCGGGAACAGAGAUGCUUUGUGAGGUUCCGAAACCGGCUUGUGAGGAGAGGCCACAGUUGAACUCAGACAACAGGAGAGAGCCUUUGAGUCGGCCUGAAAGGACCCCAUUUUUGAUGACAAUGUGCAGGUAUUUGGCUUUUUUAAUGCAAGGAAAAGAUGUUAAACUUCAAAAAUAAUUUUGUUUUCCAGGAUCUGAAGUUUUCCAAAUGAUUUUCCUUCUCCCUUUUGAAUAAUGCUCACUUCACUCUGUCACAAGUCCCAUCACCUGAUUUACUGUUCUUUGAUUCCAAAUGAGCCUAAGUUCCACUGGUAAAAUCCAUUUUUAGCCAUCACACAACCCUCAGGUGAGAUUCCAGUUAGCACUCAGAGCAUCCCGGUGAGAAGACACUGCACUGCCACUUUCCAGAGGAGGAGUGGAGGCCUGGAAACAAGGAAAACGACCGAGGGUCCCACAGCUAGGAAGAAGUGGGAUGUGAGGUUGAACCCUCAGAUCCAUGCAGACCCUCCGUUUCUGCACCUGGACCUGCUGUACUGUAUACCCCGGUGCCUUUUCACCAGGCAGUUUCUUGGUCGAGGGUCUAAGA